rnacentral:ncRNA from 2 species
UGGGCUGGUCGAAAGGCCCAGAUCCAAUCAAAAGAACAGGCGGGGAAAUUCCCC